CUUUGACUCCCCGGAUGAAAGGUAGUGGCAUGUGCUGGAGGGAUCUGCAGUGUGAUUGACAUUCCGUGGUGCUUCCUCUUUAUUUUCUUCACACAGGAGAGGAGCAGGACCCCUCAGAGCAACAUUUGAAACCGAAAAUGCCUGGCCUGCAGCCCUGUGGUGGUGUUGCUCUGCUGGGCUCUCUGAUGCCUCUGUAAUCAGAUAAGAGCCAAGGUAGGAAUUGUUCUUUUCCACAUGGUACAUCGAACCCCACAGCAGUUAUGUGCUGAGCAGAGUAUUUUAAGGAAAUGUCUGAAACGGUUCCUAUAGCCUAUUUGGUCCUUCGACCCAAACCCUGAGUUAAUUCUUUUUAACGGUACAGAUAUUUUGUGGCCAAACAUAAGGGCUCAAAUUCUCUGCUGCUU
rnacentral:lncRNA from 1 species